rnacentral:misc_RNA from 1 species
GAUGAAGAACGCAGCGAAAUGCGAUAAGUAAUGUGAAUUGCAGAAUUCAGUGAAUCAUCGAAUCUUUGAACGCACAUUGCGCCCGCUGGUAUUCCGGCGGGCAUGCCUGUUCGAGCGUCAUUUCAACCCUCAAGCUCUCCGGAGUUUGGUGUUGGGGCCUGCCGUCAAGGCAGCCCUUAAAAUCAGUGGCGGCGCCAUCUGGCUCUAAGCGUAGUAAUACUUCUCGCUACAGGGUCCCGGUGGUGUCUUGCCAGAACCCCUCAUUUUUUAUGAUUGACCUCGGAUCAGGUAGGGAUACCCGCUGAACUUAAGCAUAUCAAUAAGCGGAGGA